GACCACAGGGAUUGCCUUAGUAACGGCGAGUGAAGCGGCAACAGCUCAAAUUUGAAAUCUGGCCCUCGGGUCCGAAUUGUAAUUUGUAGAGGAUGAUUUUGGUGCGGUAUCUUCCGAGUUCCUUGGAACAGGACGCCUUAGAGGGUGAGAGCCCCGUACGGUUGAAUGCCUAGCCUCUGUAAAUCUCCUUCGACGAGUCGAGUAGUUUGGGAAUGCUGCUCUAAAUGGGAGGUAAAUUUCUUCUAAAGCUAAAUAUUGGCCAGAGACCGAUAGCGCACAAGUAGAGUGAUCGAAAGAUGAAAAGCACUUUGAAAAGAGGGUUAAAUAGCACGUGAAAUUGUUGAAAGGGAAGGAUUUGUGACCAGACUUUUUCUGGGCGGAUCAUCCGGGGUUCUCUCCGGUGCACUUUGCCCAGUAAAGGCCAGCAUCGAUUUUCGGCGGCGGAUAAAAGCAGUGGGAAUGUGGCUCCCUACGGGGAGUGUUAUAGCCCAUUGUAUAAUACGCUGCUGGGGAUCGAGGUACGCGCUUCUGCAAGGAUGCUGGCGUAAUGGUUAUCAAUCACCCGUCUUGAAACACGGACCAAGGAGUCGAACAUUUAUGCGAGUGUUUGGGUGGAAA
rnacentral:rRNA from 1 species